UACGGAGGGUGCAAGCGUUAUCCGGAAUCAUUGGGUUUAAAGGGUCCGCAGGCGGAUUUAUAAGUCAGUGGUGAAAUCCUAUCGCUUAACGAUAGAACUGCCAUUGAUACUGUAAGUCUUGAAUUCGGUCGGAGUGGGCGGAAUGUGUAGUGUAGCGGUGAAAUGCAUAGAUAUUACACAGAACACCGAUAGCGAAGGCAGCUCACUAGGCCUGAAUUGACGCUCAGGGACGAAAGCGUGGGGAUCAAACAGG
rnacentral:rRNA from 1 species